UAAAUAGUUUUUCAGUCAUCUAAUGAUUUCAGAUAGGUGCUCUAGGUCCAAUAGUCGACUGGGUUGCAAGAAUUUAUGGAAUCAUUAGAUGUCAUCAUCAAUGUCAAAAGAAUUGAAAAGAAACCAAGUGGAGUGUGAACCAAGUAGUUCUGAUCAAGAGU